rnacentral:rRNA from 1 species
GACGAACGCUGGCGGCGUGCCUAAUACAUGCAAGUAGAACGCACAGUUUAUACCGUAGCUUGCUACACCAUAAACUGUGAGUUGCGAACGGGUGAGUAACGCGUAGGUAACCUGCCUGGUAGCGGGGGAUAACUAUUGGAAACGAUAGCUAAUACCGCAUAAUAUUGAUUAUUGCAUGAUAAUUGAUUGAAAGAUGCUAUUGCAUCACUACCAGAUGGACCUGCGUUGUAUUAGCUAGUAGGUGAGGUAACGGCUCACCUAGGCGACGAUACAUAGCCGACCUGAGAGGGUGAUCGGCCACACUGGGAUUGAGACACGGCCCAGACUCCUACGGGAGGCAGCAGUAGGGAAUCUUCGGAAAUGGACGAAAGUCUGACCGAGCAACGCCGCGUGAGUGAAGAAGGUUUUCGGAUCGUAAAGCUCUGUUGUAAGAGAAGAACGGGUGUGAGAGUGGAAAGUUCACACUGUGACGGUAUCUUACCAGAAAGGGACGGCUAACUACGUG